UAUUAUCCAUCGAGUUUGGUACUGCAAAGC
rnacentral:piRNA from 1 species